rnacentral:rRNA from 1 species
GAUGAACGCUGGCGGCGUGCCCUAUACAUGCAAGUCGAGCGAACGGACGAGAAGCUUGCUUCUCUGAUGUUAGCGGCGGACGGGUGAGUAACACGUGGAUAACCUACCUAUAAGACUGGGAUAACUUCGGGAAACCGUAGCUAAUACCGGAUAAUAUUUUGAACCGCAUGGUUCAAAAGUGAAAGACGGUCUUGCUGUCACUUAUAGAUGGAUCCGCGCUGCAUUAGCUAGUUGGUAAGGUAACGGCUUACCAAGGCAACGAUGCAUAGCCGACCUGAGAGGGUGAUCGGCCACACUGGAACUGAGACACGGUCCAGACUCCUACGGGAGGCAGCAGUAGGGAAUCUUCCGCAAUGGGCGAAAGCCUGACGGAGCAACGCCGCGUGAGUGAUGAAGGUCUUCGGAUCGUAAAACUCUGUUAUUAGGGAAGAACAUAUGUGUAAGUAACUGUGCACAUCUUGACGGUACCUAAUCAGAAAGCCACGGCUAACUACGUG